GAAUAUACAUGGUCAGAAGUUUGCUAAUAAACCAUUUUUUCUUAUGUAUAUUAUGGAUAAUUUUGAAAAGGCCAUAUUCUGCAGGUAGAGAAUUCAAAAUGAAAUAGACUAGAAAAGAAUCAAAAUACUCAACUUUCAAAGCUUUGAGUUGAGCGGUAAUGUCUUUCAUUUUCAUGAUAUGAUAACGUACGCCUUUUGUAUUGUCAAACCUCAUGCCU
rnacentral:lncRNA from 1 species